GAUGAACGCUGGCGGCGUGCUUAACACAUGCAAGUCGAACGGAAAGGCCCAAGCUUGCUUGGGUCCUCGAGUGGCGAACGGGUGAGUAACACGUGGGUGAUCUGCCCUGCACUUCGGGAUAAGCCUGGGAAACUGGGUCUAAUACCGGAUAGGACCACAUUUUGGAUGGUGUGGUGGAAAGUUUUUCGGUGUGGGAUGAGCUCGCGGCCUAUCAGCUUGUUGGUGGGGUAAUGGCCUACCAAGGCGUCGACGGGUAGCCGGCCUGAGAGGGUGUACGGCCACAUUGGGACUGAGAUACGGCCCAGACUCCUACGGGAGGCAGCAGUGGGGAAUAUUGCACAAGGGGCGCAAGCCUGAUGCAGCGACGCCGCGUGGGGGAUGACGGCCUUCGGGUUGUAAACUCCUUUCGCUAGGGACGAAGCGUUAUGUGACGGUACCUGGAGAAGAAGCACCGGCUAACUACGUG
rnacentral:rRNA from 1 species